UACGUAGGUGGCAAGCGUUGUCCGGAAUUAUUGGGCGUAAAGCGCGCGCAGGCGGCCUCUUAAGUCUGAUGUGAAAGCCCCCGGCUCAACCGGGGAGGGCCAUUGGAAACUGGGAGGCUUGAGUAUAGGAGAGAAGAGCGGAAUUCCACGUGUAGCGGUGAAAUGCGUAGAGAUGUGGAGGAACACCAGUGGCGAAGGCGACUCUUUGGCCUAUAACUGACGCUGAGGCGCGAAAGCGUGGGGAGCAAACGGG
rnacentral:rRNA from 1 species